rnacentral:rRNA from 1 species
AAUCAACGCUGGCGGCGCGCCUUAGACAUGCAAGUCGAACGAUUAAACUUUCCUUCGGGAAAGAUAUAAAGUGGCGCACGGGUGAGUAACACGUAAGUAAUCUACCCUCGAGUGGGGAAUAACGUUCGGAAACGGACGCUAAUACCGCAUAACGCAGCGGCACCGCAAGGUGACAGUUGUUAAAGGAGUAAUUCGCUUGAGGAGGAGCUUGCGGCAGAUUAGCUAGUUGGUAAGGUAACGGCUUACCAAGGCUACGAUCUGUAUCCGGUCUAAGAGGACGGUCGGACACACUGACACUGAAUAACGGGUCAGACUCCUACGGGAGGCAGCAGUCGGGAACUUUGGGCAAUGGGCGAAAGCCUGACCCAGCAACGCCGCGUGAAGGAUGAAGUAUUUCGGUAUGUAAAAUUCGAAAGAAUGGGAAGAAUAAAUGACGGUACCAUUUAUAAGCUCCGGCUAACUACGUGCCAGCCGCCGCCGUAACAC